CUUGUUCCUUUGAGAUGUCCAUCUGAGUGGAUAUAGAAACUGAAGCCAUUGCAACUGCCUUGCCUCCAUGCGUGGUCCUAUGAUGGAGCAAACUCUAAGGAAUUAGAGGGCUACUCCAAGAAACCCUCACUCUCUGCAGAUCUCCAGACAAGAACUUGACAGCAGUCUUCAUGGAUAUAGAAAAAUCCCUCACCCUCGGGGACACUCAUCAAUCUCUCCUAAAUAUGCUCAGCUAACUUUCCACCCACAGCCGCACAUUUGGCUGCACAGCUAGUAUCCAGCCUGGGAUCAAGAAGCCAGUCUCCCCUUCUUGUAGGACCUCCGGUCUUUGGUCUUAUUUUGUCACCCAGGCUGGAGUGCAGUAGUGCAAUCAUAGCUUGCUGCAGCCUUGAACUCCUAGGCUCAUGUGAUCCUCCCGCCUCAGCUUCCUGAGCAGCUGGGACCACAGCAUGGGACCUGGCAUUUAGAAAGCACUCAUUAAAUAUGUGUUGAAUGGAUGAAUGAAGGAAUACCUGCUUACUUCUCUGCACCCCACCCCCACCUCCACCCCAGGAGACUGCAAACUUUGUGUGGGUGGCAAAUCUAUCUUGUGAUCAACACUUCCAACCCCAGAGCCUAGCACCGUCCCUGGCACACAGUAAAUAUUCCAUAGAUAUUGCUGAAUUAAAAUAAAAUAUAGGAGACCAAUUAUGAGACUAUGGCAAGAAUCUAGACUGAUGGUAAUGGAGACUGAACUAGAAAGAUGGAGGGGAGAGAAGAAAGCAGAGGGCACCACCACCACUUACUGCUGGGAAGACACUUGCAUUGGUCUUGUCCAUCCUAGGCACUAUUUGGUGCUAUGUUAUUAAAGCACUCUGGGAAGACUCUGCUAAUCUGAUGGC
rnacentral:lncRNA from 10 species